CAGAGCACGAACGGGGCAGGGGCAGAGAGAGAGGGAGACACAGUAAUCGGAAGCAGGCUCCGGGCUCUGAGCCAUCAGCCCAGAGCCUGACGCGGGGCUCGAACUCACGGACCGCGAGAUCGUGACCUGAGCUGAAGUAGGCCGCUUAACCGACUGAGCCACCCAGGCGCCCCUGAACAGAACUCUUCAUGACAGUUUACAUCCUCUCUCGCACUGCUGGACUUUGUACGUGCAUUUCCUCAGCUUGGGAUGCCUUCUUCCUCCCUAUCCUCCUGGAUAACUUCCCACUUGAACCUGGAGACUCUACUCAAAGGUCGGACUUCUGGAAAUCUUCCCUUAUUCCCAGGGCAGGAACCCGGGGAGCGAGGCUGUGAUAAAGCAUUCUCGCCUUCCCACAACACACACCUCCGCCCUGGCCACCCUGCUACCGUGAUGUCUUAACCACAGCCCUCCUCGAAGACAGCAGUCCUCGAAGUUCGCGGACGUGCGUGUUGUCCAAGUUCCGGGAGAGGCUGCUGCUGCCGCCUCCGGGAUACGCUUUGAGAACCACCACUGUAUUGAGUGCCCAGUCAGUUUGGGUGCCCCUAGGUGCAGACACCGGGACGGAGCUAGCAUAGUAGGAGGCUGGCUGGGUCACGGUGCUUGCGGAAGAGGGAGAGGGAGAGCUUCAGCCACUGUGCAGGGCUGGCGACGUGAACCCAGCAGAGAGUUCCAGAGAAGAGCUGUCGCCUCACAGGAGCCCGACGUUGGACAGCCGCAGCCAGACCCGGGUUCCCGAGCCGGCUCGGACACAGGCUGGGAUUGCCUGGGAAAAACAUGGCCUUGGCUCAAAAGCCGAGGGGGACCCUGAAGGUGCCACAGCUGGAGGCUGUCAGCUCACUGCUGACCUUGCCCCCGCGGGACACGUCCUUCUUGAGGAGAGACUGAGGGCCCCUUCCGUGGCUGCCGCAGGCAUCUGCGCUGUGCCAGGCUCUGGGCGGAGCAUUUUCCUGGAUGAAUGCUGUUUCAGACCCAACCUGCUAACUCACGUGUAGCUGUCCCCACUUAAUAGAUGGGAAAAGUGAGGCACUGAAAGGUUAAGUGACCUACGUGCCCUGUAGCAGAGCCAGGAUUUGAACCCUUCUCACGCCAGAGGGUUCCUCCCUUGCAACUACCCUGGAAGCUGAAGAAUGUUGGCCUCUUUUACCGUUGGGGAGUCUCAAGUAUGGAGGGGUCAGUGACUUCCCUGGUCCCGCAAAUAAAGGAAGCAGGAGCUCUGGGAUUUGAACCGUGCUCUGACCCAUCUCGUCUAAUUUCAAGGGACCAUCUGCUGAAUGUUUCCAAGGGGACGUAAUAGCAGAAUCUGGGGCUGGAAGGAGCCUCCCUAACAAUCUGCCGGUGGGAACACUGAGGCCUAGCCAUGUGUCAGUGCUUUUCUGAGCCCUCAAAGGGGCCCCUGUUGUGUGCGGGGUCUAUCCACCCAUCAUCCAUGCAUUCAGAACACAAUGAUGGACACCUGUGGGUCAGCCCUCCAACCCACUUUUGGUGCCGUGGGGAGGCAGACAUGGUACAGGGGGGUCUGUGGAGACAUCGGGGCUGCACUGGGGAUUGGGCAAGGUGACAGACACAUUUAGAGGUGCGUUCCGGGAGGCUUCCUGGAGGAGGUGGCCUGAGAGGAGAAGAAGUGAGAAGGGCAUUCAAGGCAGAGGAAAGAGCAGAAGCAAGGCUUGCGGGUGGGAGAAUUCAUAUGACUUUGAGGGAAUUGAUCAGAAAUCAGCAAGUCUUGGGGCGCCUGGGUGGCUCAGUCGGUUAAGCGUCUGACUUCGGCUCAGGUUAUGAUCUCGCGGUCUGUGAGUUCGAGCCCCGCGUCGGGCUCUGUGCUGACAGCUCAGAGCCUGGAGCCUGUUUCUGAUUCUGUGUCUCCCUCUCUCUCUGACCCUCCCCCGUUCAUGCUCUGUCUC